UGUUAAAAAUUCAUCCAUUUCUAUUGUUAAAAACUAGUGUGAUUGAUAGAAUAACUAGACAGUAACACAUGGUGCCACUUUUACCUUAUGAUGAUGUACAUGAACCAGUUUUUAAUAGUAGUCUGAUUGAAAUUUUUAAUA
rfam:Gossypium arboreum cultivar AKA8401 contig_1855_11, whole genome shotgun sequence.